rnacentral:rRNA from 1 species
AGUGAACGCUGGCGGUAGGCCUAACACAUGCACGUCGAACGGCAGCACAGGAGAGCUUGCUCUCUGGGCGGCGAGUGGCGGACGUGUGAGGAAUACAUCGGAAUCUACUUUUUCGUGGGGGAUAACGUAGGGAAACUUACGCUAAUACCGCAUACGACCUACGGGUGAAAGCAGGGGAUCUUCGGACCUUGCGCGAUUGAAUGAGCCGAUGUCGGAUUAGCUAGUUGGCGGGGUAAAGGCCCACCAAGGCGACGAUCCGUAGCUGGUCUGAGAGGAUGAUCAGACACACUGGAACUGAGACACGGUCCAGACUCCUACGGGAGGCAGCAGUGGGGAAUAUUGGACAAUGGGCGCAAGCCUGAUCCAGCCAUACCGCGUGGGUGAAGAAGGCCUUCGGGUUGUAAAGCCCUUUUGUUGGGAAAGAAAUCCAGCUGGUUAAUACCCGGUUGGGAUGACGGUACCCAAAGAAUAAGCACCGGCUAACUUCGUGCCAGCCGCCGCAGUAA